GCUUAUUGUCUUGCAUCCAAACAACUGGUCCCUGUUUUCAGCUCAGCUGCUGCCUGUUUAACUCCUUUGUUACUGGAAAUAUAUCAUGGAACCAGGGAGAAUUAAACACUGCUGAUGAUUGGAUACAGCCUUUCCCUGCCGCAGGGUCCUUUGUGUUUUCCCACAAAAAAAUCAGAAAAAGCAGGAACAUGCCAAACAUGGUGGAUUCCUAACAUGUCUAGUGAAAAGAAGAAAUCCAAUUGAAAGAAUUUAUGCAGUUGACAGGCUGAAAGAGCUCUGGUGGAGAUGCUCUUGUCUCUGAAGCUUAUACCUGAUAAGAAAGGAAAAUUCCAAGAGAUGGAAAAGACUUCCUUCUGUUUCAGCUGCCCAGUUUUUUGAUAUUGUUCAAAAGAUGAUUUCUCAGGCAGAUAUUACUUAGUUUUCAGUCAUAUUGUUCUUAAAAUACACAAGAAAUUCUUAGUGAAGACCAUCAAUGAAAAGAAAAGACUACGGAUCACUUGAAUAUACAGGCUCCAGUUAGGAUGCAUGCAGAUGGAUUUACCCUGGAGUGGGCUGUCUGCUGCAAGGGCUGUCUACAGCUUCAAGUUGCAUUGUGUGUAAAUCCAGCCAGACUGCAAGGCCUCUCCCUCUCUUCUGUCCCACAGCACUACUUGAUAUGUUGAUGCUAAGAGGCUGAAGUCCCUUCUGCUGCAGUUUGCCUCUGUGUGACAAGUCAAAUUCUCUGGGAUUCUCAGGAUUCUGACAGGCACCACACACAUUUCUUUUCCUGACCUACAAUGCUAUCUCUCAGGCUGUUCCUGCAACUCAGCUGAGACAUGCUCCUGUACCCUUUGGAUACCAUGGAAAACACCCUGCAGGCCUUGGGCACUUUUGAAGACAAUGUUUUGCAGAAGAAGCAGCAGAGAGACAGCUUUGAAGAACAUUGCUUUGAGGGCUGCAAGCUGGCACGUUGGAAAUGAAUGUAGAUGCUGGUGUACAGAAGCAGGAGUGUGGUUUUCUGAAGAAAUGAGGCUUAUACAGUUGCCAUGGCUGUCUGUCCAUCUGUUGGUCCCCCUCCUCCACCGCUCCUCCACGUAACUUUUCAAACUGUCAGCAAAUUUCAGCCAGUAUGGAAAGAGAGGAAAAACUCUCAAAGACAUUACCAUUUUUAUGAAUUUCAUGAAGUCUGGUGGAAAUUUUCCAAAGGCUUGAUUAAUGCCCCCUCAAGGUGAGGCUAACAGCUUUCCAAAAUCCCAGAUCUGUUGGAGAUUUUAUCCAUUCUUUCCUUGGAAGUUGAGGAUCCCAAGCACUUUCCCAAACUGAUUGAUGCCACCUCUCAUAAAUCCAGAUUCUGCUUUGUCUACUGAAUGGGGAGUGGAUCAUUCGUGGAGCACAAGUGCUGCCAGUGGUGACCAAAAGCUUUGGUAACCUAACCAGCCUCUGAAAUCCCUGCUGAGGUACCCAUGAGUACUGUGAGAGCACCUUGAUGGCAGGCAGCACUUGGAGUUGUCAUCAGCCUCUGGUGCUUUAGUGCUUCUUCAGGCAAGUGAUGCAAGCACUUGUGUGUGAGAACAGACAUCCUUUCCCUGCCUCUGCUGUAAAAGCUAUGCAGACACAUGGGUGAGCUCAAUUCCCCCGCUUUUCAGGCCAACAAGCAUUUCAGGGACAGCUUCAAAGGCAUGUAAGCUCAAAGUUGUGAGAAGGUGGGUACAGGAAAUCAGAUUUACUGUCUAGUCUUAGAAAAAUUAGAAUAAUUUUUUUCUGUUUUCAUCAGGAUUUUUUUCGUUAAAAUAGAUAAGAAACUAUUUUUUUUUAAUAAGAAACUUGAAGAUUAAUGCUUAAAAUAAGCUACAAUUCCUAUGAGAAUGGCCUAUCUGGAGCAGCUGGGUUUGUAGCCUCAAGGGAGAGGCUGGAGAAAGUCAAGGGAAAACCAGGAGUACAUGAUUGUUUCUGUAUUGAUUCCCAGAUCUGUUUGCCAUCAAUGCUAUCAUUGUGGUGGUGACAUGGACUGUUACAGCUAAGAGCAAAGAAUGCACAGAGUAAGGGGGUUUGGCUCAACAGCUUGAAAUACUCAAAGGUUUAGUGUUUUGAGUAAGGAGAUAAUCCAAAGCCUAUAAAGGCAGAAGAAAAACAGCCUUUGGCUCCAGUGGGCAUUGCAUCAGGCCUUCAGAUGACUGGCAAUCAGCAGACUUCAUACUGUGUAAUUCUGUAUGAAAGAAGCAUUAGUUCUCUGACAUACAAUCAGCUGAGGAGGAAUAAGACAUGCUGUGUCUUUGCAACUCGCCCUUCUGGCCAGCAGACAUCCCUGUCACUGCAGGCAAUGUAGAUGUUCUUGCACAACUGGUGGAAAGACAUCUAGCUCUGCUUUACAGUGGCUGCUUCCUGCUAAGCCAUCACCAGAGAAAGAAUUAGCAGAGAUUCCACUGUCACACAGCUCAAAUCUGAACCCUGGGUUAUUUUUAAACGAGCACAGUAAAGAGACUGAAGACCCCCCCUGUGAAUUGGGGGAUUGGUUUUUCUAAACUGGAGGGCGAAUGUCAGAAGAUCAGAUUACAAGUGUCUACCCGUGUGCUUUCACUGUGUGGUGGCUCACCUGGAGUUCAGGCUCUGUAAAUUGCAAGGAGGUAGUUCCAGGGCAGUUUAAGCACUUCAGCAAUUCCUAGCAGUGGUGGUCUCAAUUUGGGAAGGCUUUCCUGACAUAUCUGAAAGCCAAAAGCUUCUUUGCUAAUUUAAUAAAGAAGAGUGAACCAGUGGGCAAGUCCCUAGAAGAUAGACUAAAUCAGGUUAAUUUGUUAUAUAAUCCCUUUUUAAUGUGGAGAAUUAGGGUGACGGCAAGACGACUACAUGGUUAAUUCUCCAAAUAAUUACUGGCAGGUAUUGACAUUAAAGGUGGGAGAGAGAAAGUUAAUUUCUGCUUGUUGUUUUCAGCACGUGCCACACUCUUACUUCACAGCAGUGAGAAAAGGCUGGAAGUUGUAUAUUCUAUGUGCAUGAAGUAACAGUUGGCACAAAUCACGAAAAGGAGAAAAUUAAAAACCACUGAAGCCUAGCAACCCAAACUGCCACUUGCUGGUAAGGUCUGCUAAAAAAAAAGAUAAAUUAAAAAAAAAAAAAAGAAAAAAAAAAAAAAAGAAAAAAAAGGUGGCCUCAAACAGAGUAAUUUCACUUGAGUAAACCUGGGUGUCUGGUUAGGUCCUCCUCCAUGUAAAUAAUGUGUGAAAAGGCAGCAAUAACCUCGAUUUUCCAACCUCCUCCUCCUCUACACCUUUGUGAAGUGCCCUCAUGGGCAGCCCCAAGUGAGGCAGAGGAGGAUGACAGCACUUGACUCAGUUUGGUCCUUUCUUCUGCUGGCACUCUUGGCCAUGAAAAACCUAUUCUUCACCUUUGAUAGGAAUGGAGGUGCUUGGAGCUGCUCUGCCAUGUAAAUCACGAUAAUGGAGUUUUAUAUCUUCCCUUUUGCUGGCAUUAUUGAAUUUGACCCAAAACAGCGGGAGGAAGCUGUUUCUGCACCACCUGGCUCUAACUCAUGUGUCCCUACAUAGGCCUGGGAUAUCUUUGGUAUUUAUGCCAUGGCUGCCAGUGCUCCAGAGGCACAAACAGGUUCUACUGUCCUGCCCAGCCCUCUGCUCAACCUGCCCAAGGACCUGCUGCCCAUGUCAGCUCCCUGAGCCCACCUACCUCAGUGAUGCUGCAGCAGGGCCAGGCUCCAGCUGCCCACAGCCCUGCCUGGCCAGGGCCCCACAGAGCCAGACCCACAUCCCAUCCCGUCAUCACAGCCCGUGUGGUGCCCUGGCAAUGGCCAUGGGUUACAGGAGUUUUCCCACAUGCUUUCUGUUCAAGAUGAUGUCCUUUGCUCACAGGAUUCCAUAACCAUCUACGUCUUCCCUGUCAUUUGCAUAAGUACACAUGUGAGUAUACUUAUGGAGAGUCAAGCCAUGUGUAUGAAAUAUGGGAUAGAGCAUACAGAAGUGUUAUAUAUUGUUACUCUGAAGUUGCCUCCCUGUCCUGCAAUCUCCCUUUCUCCUCCCUUUCCCCUUUAGUUUGAUGCCUACGGGGAAGAAGAGAAGCUGGGGGUGAAGUGAGGCAGCCUGUAAAGUAAGGACUGACUGGCAGAUUCAUAUCAGGAAUUAAUUUCAGCAUGUUUCAUAUCAAAUCACUCAGGAAUCACAAAAGUUUACUCCUUUACUCCUAUUUUGUUGAUGGCUAAAAUAUUACUUUUAAGCAAAAGUUUUUGUGUUCAAAUCACUCCCUCAUUUUAUUUUUAAAGAAAGAAUCUGUUUUGCAGUUUGACAUGUUUCUUGUUUUCAGACUGUUGAUUUUCUGUGUGGUUAGCUCUAGGCUUCCUACAACUGACAGCUUAUUAUCUCACCUUAUGAAAAUUAUGCAUGACUUCUGGGACUCAUCUAUCAAAAGGAGAGAGCACACAACACUCUGAGAGGCUGGUACCUUCUCUCUAGUUAUCCAGGUUGAUGGUUGUUCAGUGAACCUAUUAACUACCUGGAGUGGCUUGCAUCUUUACAGCAAAAGAAAGGAGCCAGAAAACUGCUCUCACCGAUAAAGCCUGGAGAAGUCAUUCUGUAAAGGAAUAGCUUGGCUUGGGCAGCCCCGGGCCCCUGCUCUGCUCCUCGUGCUGACAGCAUAGCCGAGCGCCUCUAGGAGUGUGGACACCCAAAAUCUCGGGCUGUUGGCAGGGGCUAAGUGGCUUGGCUCUGCAGAGGAGCCCUGUGGCUGCUGUCUUACCAGCUGCUGGCAGUUCUGGACAAGCUGCACUUGUGCCCCUAUGCCACCCUGAUUUUAAAUGUGGCCAUCUGACAUGGCUAAAACUGCGGUGAACAACUGGACUACUUUUUUGACGUGUGACUUUUAAAUUGUGUGGGUAAUGAUGGACAAAGUCAAGUCACAGAGGAAUGGCACUAGUCAGCCACCUUGGGAAUCCCUCUUUCUGAACAUGGGUGGUAUCUUUUGUGGCACUGCUUUGCUGUUUUGUGCAAAUUCCCAGCUCUUUAGAGAUCCAGUCGAUUAUCAGACAAAAGAACCCUCACAUUGUAUGCCAGUCUGGGUACAUACUUGAUGUGAAUGAAUACAAAGACCUAUUCAUCACUCCUAGUGCUCACAUAACUGACACAUUAAAUCACUCUCUGGCUGUGAAGAUGACAGUGGCCCAAUAGCUAAUGCUGUCUAACAGCCUCCAUUAGAAGACCUUGUUUCUGAUUGUUUAUAAUUUUGUCAGACUUCAGCUGCUUGAGCUGGAUUUUCCCAUGCCAUAUGUCACCAGAAACUGAAGGUUUGUGUGUGGAAGGUCCUAGAUGAAUAGUCAUGGUGUUGCCAAGCUCAUGUAUCACUGAAAAGUCAAUUGAACACAAAUUUUUAGGGAGUAACUCUUCAUUUCUCCUCUCUUGAGGGAGAAGGAAAAACAUCUGGAGUUAUAUGCUCCCCAGUGGGUUGUGUUCAGGCUGAAGUUGAAGUUGCUGCUAAACAGCCUGAAUAUAAGAAGUUUCAUGUCAAAGGCUGUCAACUUGCUGGAUAUUGUUGACUUUUAACCUUGUGCAAUGCUUUUUGAGGCUGUAGUUAGUCCACUGACAUACUUAGUUCCAUAUUGUGCCCAUGCUUUUGAUAGAAGUUGCUUUAAGCAGGCUGAGAUUAUGCUACCAGGGAGCACAGCUAAUGGCUUCAGUUUGAGCACAUCUCGUGUUUGUGUAUGUGUGAUGGCUGUAUAGCUCUCCUCUGCUCAACCUUUUCCUUCUUUACUGCUGUCCAGCUGUUGUAUUUCUGGCCAGCAAUCCCUGUCAUAUAGGAUUAAGAGCAGAUUUUCAAAUCUCCAUGCUGCUCUGAAUAUCAGGCUGAAGUUGCUAGUUCCGAGACAUGAAUUAGCUUUGCAGCUUUUAGAAUGACUUUUAUUUGGCCCCCUGAAUCAAUGUUGGUACUUUUUCCUCUGCAUUUCCAAACAGUACUGCAGAGGUCAACAGGAAGAGCUUUUAGGCUGAACAGUCCCUAGGUGAGGUGGUUGUGUUGGGAGGACAGUUGGUGACCAGAAAUAAGUGGUAUGGGUGUGGGUCACAGGAGGGAUGGGGCUAGAGGACCUUAAAUAUAUCUGAGAAUUGUCUGUAUUUCUAUGAGUAAUAUCUAUCCAUGACAGCUCAAUUGCACAUUGGGUGGAAAUGUGCUGUCUGGCCUGCAGCCUAUAUAACCCUUUCCCAUUCCCUACAGAGACUUUUAUUAAGUGAGCUUUACAAGGACCUAGAAAGGACCUCUACCUGUCACAGGAAUUGAAAAGGACAAUGUAAGGUCCCCAAGGGGAGUUUUUCCUUAACCAUUAUACAAACCAGAAAAUUUCCAUAACUCAGUAAAAACUGUGCUAUGUCUUCCCAAACUGGGCAAUUUGAAUUGUAGGAGCUAUUGCCUAGGAACUCUCUAGAGGCAGACUUUAUAACCACACAGAAUAUUUUCAUUUAACUACCUGCACUACUGGACCAUCAUAUGAUUUAGAUCUCUGACAAACCUGAACUCCCAUUAAACUAGAUAGCUUGGGUCCAUUAUCCCAGGAAGACUGUUCAGGGUGGCCUGCCAACAGCAGCUGGCUCUGACUGAGCUCUGCUUCUAGAGUGGGUUUUGCAGCCUGCUGUGGUCUGUAAUGGCAGUGCCAUGGUGUUGCCAUACCUUGGCUGGCUAAUUUAAUGCUUUAGUUUGGUGUGUCAAUGCCAUGCUGCAGUUUCAAUAAGGUCUGUGGUAGAGACACAUCUGCAGUCAGAAAUUGUCAUCAUUCUGCACUGCCAGCAUGGUGUAAUACACUGCACAGAUCCUCAAGCCAAGGUUUUAGAAAAUUGAUCUGGAUCCUAUAAACAUUUUAACGGGCGGAAGCAAAAAUACUUGCAUGACCUGACAGGUUUUUUUGUCUCUUAGUGGUCUUUUCCCUUAGUGACAAUAAAAGCACUUUAUAUUUUUGCUGCAAUGGAAAGAUCAUGUAUUAUAUAGAUCCCACUGAACAAUAUUCAGCAAGCUGCAAAUGUCUUUAAAUUUCCAUUAUAAACUUGACUUUAUUCCUGUUCUUCCCUAUGCCAAAGUUAGCCCUAUCCACCUACAACUUCACAGGCAUAAUCUUAUUCUGGGACAGAUUUUUUGGAAGAGUUGAAGGAAACUGGUCAAGGUGUUUAAGAGAGAUGAUGGCUAAAAAAAAUGAGUUCAUCUGCUUGGAGAGUUUCCUAAAGACUUUUUGGCUUGUCAAAUCCUGAAAAUUCAUUUCCCUAGAAAUUCAAAAAAUAUUUCAGAUCUGUUGGUCUUGGCUAAAAAUGGUGCCUUGGAACAGUUUUAGGCUGUCUGGUGACAGAAUUAUUUGGUUACUGAAAGUGGUCCCUGCCUCCAUGUGUUAUGUGCUCUUUGGAGAUCUUAAUUCAACUAGUCAAUACCAAUGUGCUUAUAAAUUUAUGGUGGCAAUGUAAGGUUUCUAAACAACUCUGCAUGUAUCCUGAACAGCCAUAUUCCUUAUCUGAGACUGGUCCUGUCUGCAGGUGCUGCUGUCUAAAAUCCUCACCUGAAUGUUCCCUGAUUCCCACUGCAAUCCAUGCUGAAACCGACAGCCUGGCUUCACAGUCCCUUCUGCACAGUCCCUGGAGGCCUUUUUCAAAGUUCAGUCUACUCAUCUCAGUGGUUUUUACUGGGUCAAAAAAUUCAUACCUGCAAUGAUUUGUGCCAAUAUGGCUGCAAGACACACAUGAUGAGACUUACGCCAAUAUUAUUUUUCAGUGUGUUUUGGGGCUUACUUGUGGUUUGAUGACAAAGUAAGUUCUGAGGCAUAAUAUUCUAUUCUUAAAGAGAAUUUAUUGCAAAAUAUGUGCUUAGAACUUUCUCAUAAUUGGGAAAUUUUUAUUUAUGGUUUUUGAAGUAUGAUCAAAACCACAGGCAAACAUUCAUUAGAUUAUUUUCAGCAUCUCUUACUUUAAGAAGAAUGUGACAUCUGCAAACCAUACAGUUCUGCUAUACCACUGCAAUGAUGUGGCCUCCCUGGAUGAUUCCCUUAGCUUGCACUGAAAGCUAUAGCAGAGCAAUGGGAACAGUAAAGACUGCCCAGCACGUACCAUUGACAAUGGGACAUGGAACAUGUUCCGUGACACCUUGGGUUUGGUUAAUAAUGUUCCCAGACUUUGGCAUUUAAGCCUUGAUUGUUCUGAGCUCUGGACCUCAGUUGGUUUCACUGUUGUUGAAGCCAAGUCCUUGAUCUACAAAUUGCUGGAGCCUUGUAUGUAUUUGGGAGAAGUAUAGACAUCAUUUUUUCUCUAUUUAUUAUUCCAUCAGCACCUGUUAUUGACCACAAUUUGAAGCAAGCACUAGGGCUAGACGGACCUCAGUUUUGACUCAGUAUGGAUGUUCUCACACUAUAUUCUCAAUGCCAACAAAAAUAGUUGACUAUUGGUUGAAAAUAGGUCUAGGAAUUUACUAUGUCAUUUUAAAGACUUAACAGUCUUUACUGUUUCAUUUUGGGGGGUUUUGUUUAUUUCUCUCUGUGCUCUGAAGCUAGGACUUGAAUCCUAAAUGAAGCAUUGUCUUGUAGUCAAAGUGUUUCCUUCUGGCUCUUAACAGUCACAUUUUGAAUGUGCUCAGUAGAAACUAGGAAGGGUUUUGCACCUAGAUGCAGGUGACAGUGAUCAUACCCUGACAGGAGUGAGCAGGAGGCUGCUGGUUGGAGACUGCUCUGCCAAUACAGCACAGGAACUGAGUACAGCAGGAUUGUCUCACUGGCCAUUGUCUUCUGGGACUGAAAAAUGGCCUGACUGGAAGGCAGAAUUACUGAGUAAGUUUACAGGAGAAACUUUUCAAGAAGGAAAAUGGGUUAUGAUGGUAAAAAGAAGAGAUGGAAAACUGGUAUCUAGGUGGAUUAGUGGAAAACUGGAGUAUGGCUGGCUCCAUGAUAGUCUGCAGAGAUGAUAAAGAGAAGAGGAAGGCCUUACAGCAGAGAGAGAGAGAGGGACAGUCUGUGUGAUAUUGGGGAAGAUUCCUCAGAGCUGAGCUGAGGAAUUCCUGGAGCUGAGCACAGACUUCCUCUGGCCAGGUCCUGUGUUCAGCUCUCAGCUGGGCAUCCCAUCAUAAGAGAUUUCUCCUCCCAAGUCAAGUCUACACAGAUACUGAGAGUCAUUGACUCACUCUGAGAUAGGCUUUCACCAGAGGAAAUCUGGAAAAGUCAUUAAUUCCACCUUUCUAUCCCACAACCAAGUUGCAAUCAUGUCACCCCAAGCUGCAGUAUUUUAUCAUUGAUACAGAAGUUUUGUCCAAUGUCUAAUCUAGAUCUCCCAAGAUGUUUGGUUUAUGCUUCUUAAUGAUUUAUUCUUCCUGAUCUUUCCAUCAGGAACAUAUUAGUUCCCUAUGCUUUGCAACAGCUUUUUCGUUGAAGAAUAUUAACCUUCUAUCUCUGUUAUUACUUCAGAGAAAAAAAGACAUUUCUUGCAGCCUUUCCUCAUGUUUUCUGGACAUGUCAAUUUUUGUUGACCUCCCCUGCCGACCGUUUCAUCUCUUACUUGAAGUACAGUGCACUAAACAGGUUGUGGUCUUCCAGGUGAAUCUUUACCUAUGGGAAUCAGCCCACACGGGCUCUUUCAGUAGUCUUUAAGACCCUUUAAACAUCCUGAUGUGAGGGAUUUGCCCUUCAUGCUCAGCUUGUUCUAAUAUAGUCCCUGGUAUUUUCUCUUGUGAACCCACACAGUUUUGCAAGAGAAGUUGAGUAUUUCUGUGUGAGCAUUUUGCACUAUUGUAUUCCAUCCAUUUUAGAUGAUCUAAGUCAUAUCAAGAACAUUGUAGAUUCUGAUAUUUUUAGUAUCUAUAACAUCUGCAGUCCUUCCUUGUUCCAUCUGCAAGAUUCAUACUUAUACUUCAUAUUCAGUUUCCUAUGCCUUCAUUGGAAACAUAAAACCUUAUACAGGACCAAGGCCCACAGAAUUCCUUAAAAAAACAUACACGUUUUGAUGUGUUAGAAUGGAAUUACCCUGUGGAUACAAUUAUCCAACUAGGCUUGACCUCCUGCCCCUUCCCACAGCAGUUUCAUUUAGAACACUGUUCACUAGUGUGUCCAUGAGGAUAUUAUAGGAAAUUUCACUAAAGGCCUUGCAAGAAAUUAUAUAAAAUAAAUUCAAGCUAUGUGACAUCUCUAGCUAGUACUUCAACUUCCCUUUAAGACUUCUAGAGUGAAAUUGCUCAGGAAACUGGAAGACAUGUAAUGUGAUAUGUUAUUCUCUAAGCAAGUUUUGCAUAUUCUAGGCUGACAUUUUGCCACCCUAAAUAAUUGCACUCUCUGGUUGCUGUUGAUCUUUUAAGUAAGAUUGAUGAAAAAAGGAGAAAAAAGGGCAUUAAACUCUUCCACUUCCUUAACAUCCUCUGCACUUGCCUGUCAUAGAGUACUGGUCCAAAUUUCCAUUUGUUUUUCUCUUAUCUGUAAAAUUUAUUUUAUUUUUGAUAAGUUUUGCUAGUUGUAUCUAGUCCAUUUUAUCUUUAGUAACUUUACACCGCCUCUGUUCAUCUCCCAUGAAUGGACUAUUGUGCUGGGUUCUCAACCAGCCGUACUAGUCUCUAUUUUACAGAUACCUCUCUUACAACUGAGGUCUAUUAUAAGGUUGUGAAUUAGUUGACUUCUGCUGAAUUUCCUUACUUUCCUCUAAAACGCCAUAGUUGCUCUUGGUUCCUUACUAGGAUUUCUUGAAUGAACUGACAGCCAUUCAUAAUCUGUUUUUCCUUUACAUUUGCCUCUUAUUAGAUCUUCCCUAUCAAUUCUCUGAGUUUAUUGACAUCUGCAUUCUUGGAAUCCAGUGCUGUCGGUCACUUGGAUCAGAUGGCAGAAGAUGACCCUGUGUUCGCUGCAGUGCUGAUUUCUUGUGAAAUGUCCUAUCUGGCUGCAGACUCUGAGCUGUAUAUUACACUGCCCUCUACCUACCUGCAAAGCUGCAGUGCAGCUGAGGAAGGUUGUGACAAUUACAGUGUGUAUUAGGCCUUAAGAUUUAGACUGCUCUUCAGAAUUUAUCAGACAGAAUGGGAAGAAAAAUAUAACUUCAGAGAAACUUUCUGUAAGGUGUUAAUAACUUCCCUUGUAAUGAAUCUGAGUCAGUGUGGACAGAGGAUCUAUGCUAAUGAAGUGUUUAGAACACAAAUUCCUUGUGGUAAUAAGUACUCCAGACUAAGGUAUACAAGGAUGCUUGCUCUUCCCAGUUUAAUAAAGGUUUAGACCAUUAAGCGGUGAUUUCAUGUUGCCAUGGACAGACAGUGAGACUCACAUGUAAUGGGGGAGAGGAGGAAAAAAGGCAAUAAACUUCGCCUUAAGCAGAAAUGGCUGAUCAGACCAUACUGGACCUCUGCCUCAUAGGAACAGUGACAGAAGCUCUUAUACCUAAUGCAAAAGCAGUAAGACUUCAGGUCCUACUAAAACCCUCCAAUAUUCUCUAACGUUGGUUGAAACCACUGUAGAUACAUCAUGGACCCUCUCACAGCUCAGCUAGAGAUGAUCAAGCACUCAGACC